rnacentral:rRNA from 1 species
GAUGAACGCUGGCGGCAUGCCUAACACAUGCAAGUCGAACGGUAAGGCCCUUCGGAGUACACGAGAGGCGGACGGCUGAGUAACGCGUAGGAACACACCCUGCAGUGAGGGAUAAGACACCGAAAGGUGUCCUAAUACCGCAUACGGUCUUCGGAUUAAAGCAUUUAUGCGCUGAAGGAGUGGCCUGCGUCAUAUUAGAUAGUUGGUGAGGUAAUGGCUCACCAAGUCGAUGAUGUGUAGCUGGUCUGAGAGGAUGAUCAGCCAGACUGGAACUGAGACACGGUCCAGACUCCUACGGGAGGCAGCAGUGGGGAAUAUUUCACAAUGAACGAAAGCUUGAUGGAGCAAUGCCGCGUGCAGGAUGAAGGCCCUCGGGUUGUAAACUGCUUUUAUAAGAGAAGAUUAUGACGGUAACUUAUGAAUAAGGGACGGCUAACUACGUG